rnacentral:rRNA from 1 species
CCCUUAGAUGUUCGGGGCCGCACGCGCGCUACACUGAAGGACUCAGCGUGUCUCUCCCCCUAUCCCGAAAGGGAUGGGCAACCCGUUGAACCUCCUUCGUGCUAGGGAUUGGGGUUUGCAAUUAUCCCCCAUGAACGAGGAAUUCCCAGUAAGCGCGAGUCAUCAGCUCGCGUUGAUUACGUCCCUGCCCUUUGUACACACCGCCCGUCGCUACUACCGAUUGGAUGGUUUAGUGAGACCCUCGGAUCGGUCCCGACUCGGGGUGGGCUUCUGCCCCGGUCGUGGUUUCGCCGAGAAGACGGUCAAACUCGACUAUCUAGAGGAAGUAAAAGUCGUAACA